ensembl:rRNA 5S_rRNA 5S ribosomal RNA
CUUUAAAUGGAUUCCACUUGAACAAGCCCAAUCCCAUCUGAUCUUGGAAGCUAAGCAGGGUCAGGCCUGGUUAGUAUUUGGGUGGGAGACCACCUAGGAAGACCAGUGCUAUAGG